CCUACGGGAGGCAGCAGUGGGGAAUAUUGGACAAUGGGGGGAACCCUGAUCCAGCCAUGCCGCGUGUGUGAAGAAGGCCCUCGGGUUGUAAAGCACUUUCAGUGAGGAAGAACGCCUGGUGGUUAAUAUCCAUCAGGAAAGACAUCACUCACAGAAGAAGCACCGGCUAACUCCGUGCCAGCAGCCGCGGUAAUACGGAGGGUGCGAGCGUUAAUCGGAAUUACUGGGCGUAAAGCGCGCGUAGGUGGCUUGAUAAGCCGGUUGUGAAAGCCCCGGGCUCAACCUGGGAACGGCAUCCGGAACUGUCAAGCUAGAGUGCAGGAGAGGAAGGUAGAAUUCCCGGUGUAGCGGUGAAAUGCGUAGAGAUCGGGAGGAAUACCAGUGGCGAAGGCGGCCUUCUGGACUGACACUGACACUGAGGUGCGAAAGCGUGGGUAGCAAACAGGAUUAGAUACCCGUGUAGUC
rnacentral:rRNA from 1 species